rnacentral:tRNA from 1 species
GGGCGGUUAGCUCAGCGGUAGAGCGUCUCCUUUACACGGAGAGGGUCGUGGGUUCGAAUCCCUCAUCGCCCA